rnacentral:misc_RNA from 1 species
GAUGAAGAACGUAGCGAAAUGCGAUACGUAGUGUGAAUUGCAGAAUUCAGUAAAUCAUCGAAUCUUUGAACGCACAUUGCACCUCUCGGUAUUCCGGGAGGUAUGCCUGUUCGAGCGUCAUUUGUACCCUCAAGCUCUGCUUGGUGUUGGGUGUUUGUUCCGCCUCUGUGUGUGAACUCGCCUCAAAACAAUUGGCAGCCGGCGUACUUGUUUCGGAGCGCAGCACAUUUUGCGAUCCAGAUCAACGUACAGCGGCAUCCAAGAAGCCUUAUUUAACGCUCUUGACCUCGGAUCAGGUAGGGAUACCCGCUGAACUUAAGCAUAUCAAUAAGCGGAGGA